UCCACUAAAUCCAUUGUUAGCGCUUUAGCAUUAGCCUCUACUAAAUCCCAUGUUAGCGCUUUAGCAUUAGCCUCCACUAAAUCCAAUGUUAGCGCUUUAGCAUUAGCCUCCACUAAAUCCCAUGUUAGCGCCUUAGUGUUAGCAUAUGUUUAGGAUUGGUGCUUCAGGGAUACCACUGGAGAUGAUGGUGUUUUAAAUUUUCUUCUUCUUUCUUUCUGUAGAACAGAAAUAAAUAGAUUUGAACUCACAACCCUUCACAUAUUGGUUGUUCUCUCAGGUUUUUGCUGAUUUCUUUUCCCUCUUUGCAUGUCUGUUCACAUCUGCAGCAGGUUUUCCACUAAAAUACUUGCUGAUGUUUUCCUGGCUUGAUGUUGCUGUCAGCCUCAGUUACUUAUAAGGAUUCAAAAGUAACCAAAUUUAGAGAUUUUAAAGGAAUGGCUUGUAUUGAGUUGAGGCCUGCUCUGCGGCUCUUUGAACCUUUUGUCAGGCGGUUUUAAUGUUUGUGAGCCCCACAUCGUGUUUCCCUGAACUCCUCCGUCUUUCAUAUGUCUUCCUGUGAGGUUUGCGUUUGUCUUUCUCUGGAUUCGCCGCUCAGCGAGGCUGUUAGCGGAGUCGACAGCCCACUGAUCUGCCAUCAAACCGAGCAGCGCUGCAGCAGCUACUGCAGCAUCUGUGAGACGUUACGACUCGACACGGAGCUGCAGAUAAUCGGAGGCGUUUCAGUCACGUCAUCGAGACGCGGGCCCCGCCGCCGCGAACUCCAGCGCUCGCAGAGCGGCAGAAAUCAGAGCCAGAUGGGCGGCUGAAACCAGAGAGCUGCAGCAUCUCGCCCUCGUGGGACUUGAGCUAAAUUAAACAUGACUGGGUGCCAAGCUGGGGCCGGCGCGCCGCAACGCGGAGAACAUGUAAAAAGGCCAGACGGGUUUCAACGCGGAGACGGUGACGCGCCCGGACACUCGGCGCUGGAGCUGCAGCGGCGAGCGCCGUGGAAACGGGAUCGCUUUGCAUAAUGGCAGCGGCGCUCGGCGGGAAGACGCAGAGGCAGAGUGGAAGGUCAGCGGCUGCAGAGGAAAAAGAGAAAUGACAAAACACUCCUCUAUCACCGACGGUAGAGCCGAUGCAGCCUGGAGAAGCCCAGGGUUUGGUGAGCAGGUCACUGCUAACAAUCUCCAGCCUCACAAAACUGGUGAAGAACGUAAAAUAAAACUGAAACGGAGCAGCUCUCCAAUCUGAAAUAAAUAAAUAUCUGGGAACACAAACCUGUGAUUCAUUCAGAACGGGGCUCCACUGCCGUAAGCGUGAAAAAUUGUUAGGAAGAGACAAGUUAGCUUGAUAGGUCAGAGUUUUUUCUUCCACUGUACUUUCAGACAGCCUCUUUAUGCAGAAUGAUGGUGGCUGUACAAUAAGAAAUAUCGAUAUGGAAACAUUUAGCAGUAACAUUCCUCUCUACGGUGGGAUCCAGAUAUCAAAAAUACAGUAACUAGCUCCUACCUUUUACUUGUUUUCUCAAAAUUAACCUUUAUAUCCAACAAACAGGAUGUAGAAGAGAAUGAAGUAACAAUUAAUAUUAUUCUGAGAACCUUAAUUUCACCUGGAAAAUCCCAGAGAUUAAAUGAUCCAGCUUUGAAUUUUACGGUGACAUCUUGAGAAAUGUUCCUCAAAUUGUUCCUGUUUCGUGAGCAGGCCCACAGCAUGAUGCUGCCACCCCCGUACCUCACGCUGAUGUUUCUUCUCUGGUUAUCAAGCGUUUCUUUUUCCUGACCGUUUUAGCUCCAUAUUUUCGGACAUGUCUGUAUUUAUCUGUUGUUUUUACAGCGGUGGGUUUUUUGUCUCUACGUCUGACUAUUUAGAAAACAUUUUCAUGUCUUUUGCUUUUUUCUGGUGUUUGUUGUCACAUUUUGCAGCCAUAUUUGUUAAAAUCAGGGACACAAGACCCGCCCUCUU